rnacentral:rRNA from 1 species
UACGGGGGGAGCAAGCGUUGUUCGGAUUUACUGGGCGUAAAGGGCGCGUAGGCGGCCACCGCAAGUCAGUUGUGAAAUCUCUGGGCUUAACCCAGAAAGGUCAACUGAUACUGCGGGGCUAGAGUGCAGAAGGGGCAACUGGAAUUCUCGGUGUAGCGGUGAAAUGCGUAGAUAUCAGGAAGAACACCCGUGGCGAAGGCGGCUCUCUGGAACAUUUCUGACGCUGAGGCUCGAAAGCGUGGGGAGCAAACAGG